UACGUAGGGGGCAAGCGUUGUCCGGAAUCAUUGGGCGUAAAGCGCGUGUAGGCGGCUCGGUAAGUCUGCUGUGAAAGUCCAGGGCUCAACCCUGGAAAGCCGGUGGAAACUGUCGAGCUAGAGUCCGGAAGAGGCGAGUGGAAUUCCUGGUGUAGCGGUGAAAUGCGCAGAUAUCAGGAGGAACACCAAUGGCGAAGGCAGCUCGCUGGGACGGUACUGACGCUGAGAUGCGAAAGCGUGGGGAGCAAACAGG
rnacentral:rRNA from 1 species